CAGUGCUGCCUUUACAUUUCUAACUAAUAGAGCACCAAAAGUAUUGUGCACAGCACACACUUGGCAACUGUGAUAGUAAGAGAGGGGCCUUUCCUCAGGAUUUUACUUGAAGUGGCCAAUGCUUGUUCCAUAUCUAGCAGCACUGGAUGUAUAAAUACCUAUCCUGUGUCCUUUACAUAUAUAGUAUUCUGUCGUAAGAGCCCUUACUGUUGAAGGGUCCUUAGCCUUUUUUCUGAAUAUGCUUUCAGGACUUCAACAUAUAUCAACUUUUCCUCCACGGAGCCACUGGAAGAUUCUUGGAUCAUUCAUUUCUUGUCUAUUCAAAAGGAAUUACAGAAGAAGCCACUUCACAAAUGUAUGCUGUGAAAAGGAAAUAAUUUAAAAGUAUGAAGUGCAUAUAUUCAAGUGCCUACCACAGAGCCUAAUUAAGACCAAGGUGUACUUAAAGACUGAUUUGACAACCAAACGACAGGAUUUACUUAAUUUUAGUAAAUGUUUAACAAAUAUAUACAAUGUGCACAAACACAUGUCCUUAUUUGAGCCCUAUAUAGAAAAGCUAAUUGUUACUAUGGCUACUUCAAAACAUCUUCUAGGAUGUCAGUCUCAUUAAAUAUGAGAAGGUCGGUGUUUGGCCAUUGGAUGUAGAUGACUAGCAAGAGUGGUACUCAAAUUAGUUGUGUUUUACAACAAUGUGAAUUCCAGUAUUCUGGAAUUGGGAUAGGAAGUCAGGACAUAUUUGGAAGUAGAAAAUUAGGAAACCAAGAGAACCCAGAAAAGGGUUCUGUUGGGUCUAGCUAUACCUAUGAAAUCUUGAAGAGAGUGGAAACCAUCAGUUUCUCUGUGAAUGAAAUGAGAAGCAAAAUCAAAUCUGUAGAAUUAAGGCAUAAAGCUCUUGCCUAGCAGACAUGAAAGGCUGGGUAUAAUUCCUUGUACUGAAAAAACAAAUAAAUGUUAAACAAACUAUUAAACAAACAAAAGUAAGAAGAAAACUGGAGGACAAAACCAUCAGAAAGAAAAGACUUCAGACAGUUGGCCAUCGCUGUUGUACUACGGAGACGGAUGGAGCCUGGGCCUCUUGUUCUAAGGGGCAUGCUAUACUACUAACCAGCAUCUGAGGAUUCUUCAGAUUCUUUCUGAUUUUCCAGUUCACAUUUCUAAUUUAUCCUGAGACUCAGCUGCCUCUGUAUUCCAAAACCUCGUCAAGGAACUCCUCCCAAUAUGUAAUGAGACAACCCCACAGUGCCUCUUUGCUUUGCUGAAGCCACCUUGACUUGAUUUCUAUUCUUUGCCACCACAAGCAUCCUAACUCACCCAGUGGAAAACUCUGAUUACAGUUAGGCUUAUCAACAAUAAUCCUUAUGUGUGUUUAACACUCUGCACAUUUAUAAACUGAUGAUUAUUAUUAAUAUCUACGACAAGCAAGUACUACAGUAAUGCUGCUGAAGCAGUCAUCCAAGAGCUAAUAAUUGGGUAACAGCUGGAGGUUAAAAAGCAAGCCAGGGAGAGUGAAUGGAUUUACUGAAAUGAUAACUAAUAUGAAAAGCCAUCACAUCACUGGAGUUAAUUCCAUUUACAAGAGCCCAUCAGAGUUGGCUGACUGUAGAUCAGUAAGACAGUAGGGGGAAAUUUCUUUCUAUUAGGAAAGAAUAAAACAAUGAAACAGA